GUCCAUCCCCAUCCACGAUACAACGCAAAUUUCUCAUCAGCGAGAAUUCUGAAAACACCGCGACCUUUAAAAGCUGCAGGAUUGGUUUGGCGCUUAAUUUUCAGGACGUCUAAGGGAAGGAGGAAGAUCUCUCCAAUUCCAACGAUACUGAAAAGUUAGUAAGCUAUACACAUCUUGAAUUCCCUUUUCAACAAUCUUAAACAUAAGCUUUCAGCUUAGUUAAACAAAUAUUCGACAGAUACAUACCUUCCAGCAGUAGCAUGCAUAAUGGCUUUUCCAGAUCCCUUUCCAAAAGUUUUAUCAAAAGUAUGUCUAUAAUUUUCAUUCAAAAAGUCUUUUACCUGAACAUGUUAGUAAAGAUGAACGAGUAUACUGAAGCCAACUGCGAUACAUUAAUUCCGCCAUCAAGGCUUGGAAAAAACGUACGCUUUAAACUACCAGUAUAAGUACUCUACAACAUACAAUUGGUUGACCGCUAUAUUUAUAAAUACGUUGUACAAUUUUGUAGCAAGCAGCAUAGCCCAAACCAGGAAAAAGAGAGGUAGCCUUUUGGAGUAGAGGAGCAGAGGCAGCAUCUCUGAAAAUUACAGUGUUAAGUUGAGUUAAAGAAGUAAUUUUUCCAUGAUUUGACAUCAAACGCUUGGAAAUUGUAUCAACAGGAUGAAAGAGUGAAAGUUCGAGAAUUCCGGCAGAUGCUGAUCCCACAAUUCGAGCGGUUUGCGACUCUUUGUUUUUCAACUGAACAGGAGCCAUCUUUCUCUAUCUAUUUAAAAAUUUAAUUAAUAACCAAAAAGUUUCGUUGUGUUGAAAAAGAAAAGUUAAAGGAUUUUAGUGUAGUGAACUUUUAUUGAAAUU